rnacentral:lncRNA from 1 species
UUAGGGCCUAGUAUAGGUAGAUGGAGGUUUAGGGUUUCAUUCCUCCUCUAACUUUUUCCCGUGCAUUUGAACCUCCUACUGUCCUGCCUGUCCUUUCUGGUGAGCCUUCCUCCAACUUUACACUCCUCUUUUGUUAGGGUUUCAUUCCUUGAUUAAGCCUAGCUGUUGUAACUACGGUUCAACACUGAAUCCCGAAUAGAUUUAGUAUAAACUUCUCCGUUCCUGUGACGCCAGCACCGACCCCGCCUUUACCUGGUUCUAUUCAUUCUGAAGACUCUCAAUUCUGAUGUCCAGUUGAACUAAAUUCUGGAGCCUGGUCUUCCUACUUAACUUCUUCUCUGGAUGAAUACUUAAUUAUCAUCAAAACUUCCGGCGCUUCCCGUGGAUGAAGACCCAAUUAAGAAGAUCCAACCUUGAACCUCUCCUAAUAAAAUUUGAUGGUUCUCUUAU